GACGAACGCUGGCGGCGUGCUUAACACAUGCAAGUCGAACGGAAAGGCCCUGCUUUUGUGGGGUGCUCGAGUGGCGAACGGGUGAGUAACACGUGAGUAACCUGCCCUUGACUUUGGGAUAACUUCAGGAAACUGGGGCUAAUACCGGAUAGGAGCUCCUGCUGCAUGGUGGGGGUUGGAAAGUUUCGGCGGUUGGGGAUGGACUCGCGGCUUAUCAGCUUGUUGGUGGGGUAGUGGCUUACCAAGGCUUUGACGGGUAGCCGGCCUGAGAGGGUGACCGGCCACAUUGGGACGGAGAUGCGGCCCAGACUCCUACGGGAGGCAGCAGUGGGGAAUAUUGCACAAUGGGCGGAAGCCUGAUGCAGCACCGCCGCGUGCGGGAUGACGGCCAUCGGGUUGUAAACCGCAUUCGCCUGUGACGAAGCGUGAGUGACGGUAAUGGGUAAAGAAGCACCGGCUAACUACGUG
rnacentral:rRNA from 1 species